AAUGGGCGCAAGCCUGAUGGAGCAACACCGCGUGAGUGAAGAAGGGUUUCGGCUCGUAAAGCUCUGUUGUUAAAGAAGAACACGUAUGAGAGUAACUGUUCAUACGUUGACGGUAUUUAACCAGAAAGUCACGGCUAACUACGUGCCAGCAGCCGCGGUAAUACGUAGGUGGCAAGCGUUAUCCGGAUUUAUUGGGCGUAAAGAGAGUGCAGGCGGUUUUCUAAGUCUGAUGUGAAAGCCUUCGGCUUAACCGGAGAAGUGCAUCGGAAA
rnacentral:rRNA from 1 species